CCGCCGGGAGGGGAUUUGUGCCAGGAGGGGGCUUCUUAGUUGCCCCUUCCCACCAGCAGCACUUUUAAAAGCAUUUAAUCCGCCCGGAGCGGCCUUCGGAGAACAUCCUGAUGGACUAUUUAGGUGUGAAAAGCAGAGGCUCAGGGGCUGACCUGGGAGGAGAAGCUGCAGGAAACCCAGCAAGAAAUGCCCAGAGUCUGUCUACCAGAAUUCCACCAUCUGAAGUCCCCGGGGUGCAAAUCCUGUUUGCUGUUAAUUCUUCCAGCUCUCACGUAUGGUGGCUUGUUGUGUCACGUGUUUUGCAAUUUUGCAUUGCGCGUUCCAUCUUUGUCAGAGCUUUAUCCGUGGGAAUCGGUGUGUCUAGGCUGGGAGUCCGUCUCUCCCUGGGGGGUGAGCUUAUACUUCCACGAGGCACCAGAAGACACUCCAAACCCAAGACUGCUUGAAGUUUAGUUCCCAUCUUGCAUGUAGAAUAAAUUCAGAUCCAAAAUA
rnacentral:lncRNA from 1 species